AAUUGCGUCGACACGUUGGACGUGUUUAAUUAAUUCAUUCGUGUAGUGAAAUUUAAUGGACGGUUACACGUGUCUGUCGCAC